rnacentral:rRNA from 1 species
UACGUAGGGUGCGAGCGUUGUCCGGAAUUAUUGGGCGUAAAGAGCUCGUAGGCGGUCUGUCGCGUCGGAUGUGAAAACUCGGGGCUCAACCCCGAGCCUGCAUUCGAUACGGGCAGACUAGAGUUCGGUAGGGGAGACUGGAAUUCCUGGUGUAGCGGUGAAAUGCGCAGAUAUCAGGAGGAACACCGGUGGCGAAGGCGGGUCUCUGGGCCGAUACUGACGCUGAGGAGCGAAAGCGUGGGGAGCGAACGGG